rnacentral:rRNA from 1 species
AAAUUGAAGAGUUUGAUCAUGGCUCAGAUUGAACGCUGGCGGCAGGCCUAACACAUGCAAGUCGAACGGUAACAGGAAGCAGCUUGCUGCUUUGCUGACGAGUGGCGGACGGGUGAGUAAUGUCUGGGAAACUGCCUGAUGGAGGGGGAUAACUACUGGAAACGGUGGCUAAUACCGCAUAACGUCGCAAGACCAAAGAGGGGGACCUUCGGGCCUCUUGCCAUCGGAUGUGCCCAGAU